rnacentral:piRNA from 1 species
UGACAAUCAGAUCAAUAGCCAAUUUCAGAA